AGGACGAACGCUGGCGGCGUGCCUAACACAUGCAAGUCGAACGAGGUCCAACCGGUAGCAAUACCGGUGAAGACCAAGUGGCGAACGGGUGAGUAGCACGUGAGCAACCUACCCCGAAGACCGGGACAACACCGGGAAACCGGUGCUAAUACCGGAUAUCCCCACCGAGUCGCAUGGCUUGGUGAGGAAAUGGAUUCCGCUUCGGGAGGGGCUCGCGGCCUAUCAGCUAGUUGGUGAGGUAACGGCUCACCAAGGCUUCGACGGGUAGCUGGUCUGAGAGGACGAUCAGCCACACUGGGACUGAGACACGGCCCAGACUCCUACGGGAGGCAGCAGUGGGGAAUCUUGCACAAUGGGCGAAAAGCCUGAUGCAGCAACGCCGCGUGAGGGACGAAGGCUUUCUGAGUUGUAAACCUCUUUCAGCAGGGACGAAUGAUGACGGUACCUGCAGAAGAAGCCCGGCCAACUACGUAGCCAGCAGCGC
rnacentral:rRNA from 1 species